CCAGGACACAGGUGCUGCAUGGCUGUCGUCAGCUCGUGUCGUGAGAUGUUGGGUUAAGUCCCGCAACGAGCGCAACCCUUGUCGUUAAUUGCCAUCAUUUAGUUGGGCACUUUAGCGAAACUGCCGGUGACAAACCGGAGGAAGGUGGGGAUGACGUCAAGUCCUCAUGGCCCUUAUGGGUAGGGCUUCACACGUCAUACAAUGGUCGGUACAGAGGGUUGCCAAACCGCGAGGUGGAGCAAAUCCUAAAAAGCCGGUCUCAGUUCGGAUUGCAGGCUGCAAUUCGCCUGCAUGAAGUCGGAAUCGCUAGUAAUCGCAGGUCAGCAUACUGCGGUGAAUACGUUCCCGGGCCUU
rnacentral:rRNA from 1 species